UAUUAAGACAACAAUAGUGCUAAACUGGCUACGAUUUCAAAAAGACAUCUAUUUUAUAGCGAAUCAGUCUGGCCAUAGAGCUUGUAGUCUUGUGCAGUUUCGUUGCCUGUCAGUAUCGUCCUUGUAGGUAGGUUGUAGUGAGUGUCACCUGGUAAUUAUCAUGGGUUAGCCUUUUGCUUGUUCAGGUCUGUAGGGGAUUGUGUGAGUGCUGUUUGCUCCUCUUCCUCUCCGCCCUGGUGUUGCUCUCUCGGUUCUCAGUCUCCCAAUUCUCGGUCUCGCCCCCCCCGUCCGUGGGUGCUUGCAGCUGCAGCUGGAGGGCCUGGAGGAAUCCUGCCGGGUUUUCGUCCGCAGACAGUGUGAGGAUUGAGUCCUUUUGUGGGACCACUAGUGUGCCUGCUGCUCCCCACCGGUAUCUGAUGCCCUUGUCUCUCAGUUGGCGGGUGAUUGCCAUAAAUUUUCUCCGCUCCAUCAGGGUUGUGAAUGGGAUAUCAGCAAAAACUUUCACGUGGUGGUUGUCCACGGCUACGGUGGGGGUCUUCCUGGAGGAGGCCAUCAGUGCCGCUUUGACUGUGACGUCUUGGGUAACGGCUAUGAUGUCUCUCGGCG